rnacentral:lncRNA from 1 species
CUCCUUUGCUCUGACAUGCUUACUGAGUGUGACAGAGCUGAAUAAGAACUGCUGCUGUGUUCUUCGACCUGCUCUGGCACAAUUUCAGCUGUGGAUCUUCACAAAGUGUCCUCACUGCUGGUGUCAGCUGAUUAGGACAAUGUAAAGCAAGGAAUUGUCUGACUCGUGUGAGCUACACAGUUUUCUACCAUGGCAUCUGAUGGACAGGUAUCCGGACUCCAGUGGGACCACAUGGACAUACCAGAGUCCAUUACAGGAAGUUCGGGCCAAAACAGUGUGAGGAAAUGGCUCACCACCACUGUCACUGAGGAAGAUGCAAAGCAUGAGCCACCGAAGGAAGCUGCAGGUACAACCAAUGGAAAUCCUGGUCUUUCUGUAGAUUGUAGAGAGAGAUGUUAGUCACCUUUACUCUGUGUCAACUUUAUACCUGUAUUGUCAUCUUCCCUGUGUGAUUCGGUGGAACAGGACGGUGAGUGCAGUAACUGUUUGGUUCAGAGUGGGAGUGUAGCGUUGUCAGCUUUAUAGAGAGUGGAGUAGAUUAAAGUGAGUUAUAUUAGGUUAUGACAAGAGUAGAUAAUUAUUAGGCUGUAUGUAUCAUGUCAAGUUCACAGAAAUGCAGCUUUACAGUAACUGCUGUGAAAUACAAAGCUACACUUACAAGUAUAUACACUAAAUAAAUACAGUUCUUAUAGGGGAUUGAUUUAUUUUCUAAAUGACUAUUAUUAAUUGUAAGAAUAAUUUAUUUUUAAUUUUACAGUUAUUUUUGGUUGAGGGGUGUUUUACAUCUUCAGAUUUUCUUAUUUUCUUAUUUAGUUAUUUUAAAUCUCUCAGACUGAAAAUGAAUCUGGUGUAGAGUGAGAAAUCAGAGUCUACCGUUUAUAUAUGUUGUUGCUGUGAAUUGUGUAUUAUCUAACCUACACAUCUCUAACCCUGCCCUGAGGUUAGCCCAUUCAAACAGCAUGCAAAUGUUUGUUCAGAAAACCAUUGGAAUGGCAAAUAGCUCCUGCCCGCUCCUCUUCCAUCAUCCUUGAGUAGAGCAGGACUGACUAUGAGCCCAUGCAGCUGAGAAGUUGUGCUGCUGUCAGUUAUGUUGUGUUGCUCAUGUAUCCCACGUGUCCCCUGCAGAGCCUUUGAGGAGGAACCCCAGCAGUGACGAUGACUUGGCUCUUGGUGUAGAAGGUAAAUAUUGUCCAAUCCAGGCCAUUCAUUUUAUCUUGUUCAUCUAUCAGUGUGUGUUUAUGAUUCAUGUAGACAGACCCAAAGAUCUUAGGCUAAAUUCACAAUCAUCAGAAGGUGUGUGUUUUGUGUUUUUAAUAAAAAUUAAACACACGCAGUGUUGAUAGAAACAGUAAGUGAACCCUUGGAUUUAUUACUAGUCAGACGUCCAGCUCAGUCAUAUUCUUGUGACGUGUGGUGUGAACGGCUGUGUUGAG